GACGAACGCUGCGGCGUGCCUAAUACAUGCAAGUAGAACGCACAGUUUAUACCGUAGCUUGCUACACCAUAGACUGUGAGUUGCGAACGGGUGAGUAACGCGUAGGUAACCUGCCUGGUAGCGGGGGAUAACUAUUGGAAACGAUAGCUAAUACCGCAUAAUAUUACUUAUUGCAUGAUAAUUAAUUGAAAUGUGCAAUUGCACCACUACCAGCUGGACCUGCGUUGUAUUAGCUAGUAGGUGAGGUAACGGCCCACCUAGGCGACGAUACAUAGCCGACCUGAGAGGGUGAUCGGCCACGCUGGGACGGAGACACGGCCCAGACCCCUGAGGGAGGCAGCAGGAGGGAAUCUUCGGCAAGGGACGGAAGUCUGACCGAGCAACGCCGCGUGAGUGAAGAAGGGUUUCGGAUCGUAAAGCUAUGUUGUAAGAGAAGAACGGGUGUGAGAGUGGAAAGUUCACACUGUGACGGUAUCUUACCAGAAAGGGACGGCUAACUACGUG
rnacentral:rRNA from 1 species